rnacentral:misc_RNA from 1 species
GAUGAAGAACGUAGCGAAAUGCGAUAAGUAAUGUGAAUUGCAGAAUUCAGUGAAUCAUCGAAUCUUUGAACGCACAUUGCGCCCGGCAGCAAUCUGCCGGGCAUGCCUGUCCGAGCGUCAUUUCUUCCCUCGAGCGCGGCUAGCCCUACGGGGCCUGCCGUCGCCCGGUGUUGGGGCUCUACGGGUGGGGCUCGUCCCCCCCGCAGUCCCCGAAAUGUAGUGGCGGUCCAGCCGCGGCGCCCCCUGCGUAGUAGUCUUACAACUCGCAUCGGGACCCGGCGGAGGCCAGCCGUCAAACCCCCAACUUCAAUAGUUUGACCUCGGAUCAGGUAGGGUUACCCGCUGAACUUAAGCAUAUCAAUAAGCGGAGGA